AAGGGAUAGCUGAUAAAAGGUUAGUGAU
rnacentral:piRNA from 1 species